rnacentral:rRNA from 1 species
UUGCCCUUCGUAACGGCGUAGUGAAGCGGCAACAGCUCAAAUUUGAAAUCUGGCCCCAGGCCCGAGUUGUAAUUUGUAGAGGAUGCUUUUGGUGCGGUACUUUCCGAGUUCCCUGGAACGGGACGCCUUAGAGGGUGAGAGCCCCGUACGGUUGGAUACCUAGCCUCUGUAAAGCUCCUUCGACGAGUCGAGUAGUUUGGGAAUGCUGCUCAAAAUGGGAGGUAAAUUUCUUCUAAAGCUAAAUACCGGCCAGAGACCGAUAGCGCACAAGUAGAGUGAUCGAAAGAUGAAAAGCACUUUGAAAAGAGGGUUAAAUAGCACGUGAAAUUGUUGAAAGGGAAGGACUUAUGACCAGACUUUUUCUAGGCGGAUCAUCCGGUGUUCUCACCGGUGCACUUCGCCUAGUUAAGGCCAGCAUCGGUUUCCGUAGGGGGAUAAAAGCAGUAGGAAUGUGGCUCCCUCGGGAGUGUUAUAACCUAUUGUAUAAUACCUUUAUGGGGACCGAGGUUCGCGCUUCGGCAAGGAUGCUGGCAUAAUGGUCAUCAGUCACCCGUCUUGAAACACGGACCAAGGAGUCGAACAUUUAUGCGAGUGUUUGGGUGUUAAACCCUCACGCGUAAUGAAAGUGAACGGAGGUGAGAGCCGCAAGGUGCAUCAUCGACCGAUCCUGAAGUCUUCGGAUGGAUUUGAGUAAGAGCAUAACUGUUCGGACCCGAAAGAUGGUGAACUAUGCGUGGAUAGGGUGAAGCCAGAGGAAACUCUGGUGGAGGCUCGCAGCGGUUCUGACGUGCAAAUCGAUCGUCAAAUCUGCGCAUGGGGGGCGAAAGACUAAUCGAACCAUCUAGUAGCUGGUUACCGCGA